rnacentral:lncRNA from 1 species
ACGACAGCACAGAGGGAGGAGCACAGCCUGGACAGAGGCUGCUGCAGCUAGGAGCCUGCGUUCUCGCCUCACAUCAGAGGCGGCUCCUUCUUCCCGGCCAGCACUUCUCACAGCACUGCAGUGGGUGGAGGUGCCACCCACAGGGUGUAGCAGAAGGGAUGGGGCCUGGUGCAGAAAUCAACACGGGUCACCGUCGUCUUCGUCUCAGAGGAGGCCGAGGGCCCUGGGGACCAAAGUACAGAUCGUGGUGAGGAGGAGAUCUUGACUGGCGGCUCCGCACCCCACAGCUUCUGGUCCAGAGUCACCAGGAGCUGGCAUUUUGUGUGGGCUGUUUCGUGGAGACGCCACACAGCCAGGCCCCUGAGCCCCGCGGAGCGAGGGAGCCCACAGGCACCCGCAGGAGCGCUGGCUGCUGCCAAGAGCAGGAUUAGCGGUGUCGGAGUGACGACGGGAAGG